ensembl:lncRNA
GCAAAGGUCUGUUGUGGAAUGUCACAACUUCCUCAAGUGAUCCAGUACUUUACCCUCAGCUUAAUCACCUGACUGCGGUCCUGUUGUCUGAUUGGAUCAUCUUUUGAGUUACGCAAUGGACUCUAGCUGAACAAAAGUCUCACUGAAGACUGGUUGUGUUUCAUCUGCUCCCUAAUUCCCUAUGACGUGAUUCAGGACAUUGUGAACAAAUGGAACAGAGAUGAAAGAUCACAUAAAGAAACAACUUUAAAUACUUAAGAAGAAAUAGUGACAUUUCUAGUAAGUAAAUAUUAUUGCUAGUUUCACGGUGGGUUGCAUUCUGGGAAUUUCUGAGGCAUGAACAUUUCUCUGCUUAGAGUGAUUUGGACAAUGGGACAGCCUCAAAAACGUCUGACUCCC